rnacentral:lncRNA from 1 species
AGAGAGGCAAAUGCCACAUUCUUAUUAGGCUGUGCUCCAAAGUCAUCGUCCAGUUUCUAACUGUGUUGCUGAAGCAUGGUUACAUUGGUGAAUUUAAAAUCAUUGAAAAUCACAGAGCUGGGAAAAUUAUUGUGAACCUCACAAGCAGGCUAAACAAGUGUGGAGUUAUCAGCCCCAGAUUUGCUGUGCAACUCAAAGAUCUAGAAAAAUGGCAGAAUAAUAAUCCCGCCAGUUUAGUUUCAUUGUAUUGACAACCUCAGCUGGUAUCACGGACCAAGAAGAAGCAAGAUGAAAACACACAGGAGGGGAAAUCCUGGGAUUCUUUU